CAUGCAAGUCGAGGGAGAAGCCUUUCUUCGGAGAGGUGGAAACCGGCGCACGGGUGAGUAACGCGUGGGAAUCUGUCCUGGAGUGGGGGAUAACCGCUGGAAACGGCGGCUAAUACCGCAUACGCCCUACGGGGGAAAAAUUUAUUGCUCUGGGAUGAGCCCGCGUCCGAUUAGCGUGUUGGUGGGGUAAUGGCCCACCAAGGCUUCGAUCGGUAGCUGGUCUGAGAGGAUGAUCAGCCACACUGGGACUGAGACACGGCCCAGACUCCUACGGGAGGCAGCAGUGGGGAAUAUUGGACAAUGGGCGCAAGCCUGAUCCAGCCAUGCCGCGUGAGUGAAGAAGGCCUUAGGGUUGUAAAGCUCUUUCACCCGUGACGAUGAUGACGGUAGCGGGAGAAGAAGCCCCGGCUAACUCCGUGCCAGCAGCCGCGGUAAUACGGAGGGGGCGAGCGUUGUUCGGAAUUACUGGGCGUAAAGGGCGCGUAGGCGGGCUAGCAAGUCAGGGGUGAAAGUCCUGGGCUCAACCUGGGGACUGCCUUUGAAACUGUUAGUCUAGAGUCCGGGAGAGGAUGGCGGAAUUCCCAGUGUAGAGGUGAAAUU
rnacentral:rRNA from 1 species